rnacentral:rRNA from 1 species
AUUGAACGCUGGCGGCAUGCCUUACACAUGCAAGUCGAACGGCAGCACGGGAGCAAUCCUGGUGGCGAGUGGCGAACGGGUGAGUAAUAUAUCGGAACGUGCCCGGUCGUGGGGAUAACGUAGCGAAAGCUACGCUAAUACCGCAUACGAUCUACGGAUGAAAGCGGGGGAUCGCAAGACCUCGCGCGAUUGGAGCGGCCGAUAUCAGAUUAGGUAGUUGGUGAGGUAAAGGCUCACCAAGCCGACGAUCUGUAGCUGGUCUGAGAGGACGACCAGCCACACUGGGACUGAGACACGGCCCAGACUCCUACGGGAGGCAGCAGUGGGAAUUUUGGACAAUGGGCGCAAGCCUGAUCCAGCAAUGCCGCGUGCAGGAUGAAGGCCUUCGGGUU